AACGAACGCUGGCGGCAGGCUUAACACAUGCAAGUCGAACGCGUGUAGCAAUACACGAGUGGCGCACGGGUGAGUAACGCGUGGAUAUCUGCCUUUUGGUUCGGAAUAACUCCGGGAAACUGGAGCUAAUACCGGAUGGUUCCUACGGGAUAAAGAUUUAUCGCCAAAAGAUGAGUCCGCGUACGAUUAGCUAGUUGGUGAGGUAAUGGCUCACCAAGGCGACGAUCGUUAGCUGGUCUGAGAGGACGAUCAGCCACACUGGGACUGAGACACGGCCCAGACUCCUACGGGAGGCAGCAGUGGGGAAUAUUGGACAAUGGGGGCAACCCUGAUCCAGCCAUGCCGCGUGAGUGAUGAAGGCCUUCGGGUUGUAAAGCUCUUUUGGCGGGGACGAUGAUGACGGUACCCGCAGAAUAAGCCCCGGCUAACUUCGUGCCAGCAGCCGCG
rnacentral:rRNA from 1 species